rnacentral:rRNA from 1 species
GCCUACGGGGGGCAGCAGUAGGGAAUCUUCCACAAUGGACGAAAGUCUGAUGGAGCAACGCCGCGUGAGUGAAGAGGGGUUUCGGCUCGUAAAGCUCUUUUGGUAGGGAAGAAAGAUAGAGGGAGUAACUGGCCUUUAUUUGACGGUAAUUACUUAGAAAGUCACGGCUAACUACGUGCCAGCAGCCGCGGGAAUACGUAGGUGGCAAGCGUUGUCCGGAUUUAUUGGGGGUAAAGCGAG